UUACCNGAGUACUAUGAAUGUUGUAAAUUUAAAACUCAAAGAACUUGGCGGUGNUUUUAGACCACUCAGGGGAACCUGUCUCAUAAUCGACAAUCCACGUUAUACCUGACCUUUCUUUGUUUUCAGUUUGUAUACCGUUGUCGUCAGGUAACUUUUUAGAAUAUAGAAGUUGGCUAGGAAAAUAAAUGAUUUAGUACGUCAAAUCAAGGUGCAGCUAACGGAAAGGGGAGGAUGGGUUACAAUUAUAUAUUUAUAAUUACGGAUGAUUAUAUUAAAGUAUGAUGUUUAAAAGGAGGACUUGAAAGUAAAUUAGAUUUUAUAAAAAUAAGUUUGAAUAAGGCUCUGAAACGUGU
rnacentral:rRNA from 1 species